rnacentral:rRNA from 1 species
UACGUAGGGGGCAAGCGUUGUCCGGAUUUAUUGGGCGUAAAGAGCGUGUAGGCGGUUAGAUAGGUCCGUUGUGAAAACUCGAGGCUCAACCUCGAGACGUCGAUGGAAACCAUCUGGCUAGAGUCCGGAAGAGGAGAGUGGAAUUCCUGGUGUAGCGGUGAAAUGCGUAGAUAUUGGGAGGAACACCAGUGGCGAAGGCGGCUCGCUGGACCGGAACUGACGCUGAGGCGCGAAAGCGUGGGGAGCAAACAGG